GUAAAAUAAAGGGAUUUUGCUCCCCUGCUAAGGGAGUAGGGCGUGUAAAAAGCGCCGCGGAGGUUCAAAUCCUCUCUUCCGCGCCA
rnacentral:tRNA from 2 species